AAUGUUUAUAAAUUAUUUUGCCAAAAAGUUACAGGAUCCGGAUGUACAGAAAUACUGAGUUUUUUAAUGAUUUAAAGGCAUAUUGUAUUCCAAAACUAUUCUACUUUACGUGAGUGAGGCCCUACAGUGCCAUGGGACCUGUGGUACAGACAUUUUGACACCCAGGGUGCUACAAUCUAUUAGUGAUCACUAUGUUGUUGCAAUAUUUUAUGUAUGUGCCUUACCGCAAAACCAUGAAACUAGAGAUUAAACUAACAUUAACCUAUUAUUUUUUACUUUAUAACAGUCAAAAUUAAAUUUAUAACCACAAUAUGUGUAAAUAAUGCCCAAAAUUAAACUUAAAUAAACAUAUUGCGGAAACAACAUAUGUGCCUACCUAUCGUCUUGUUUUAGGUGUGUCGUUUACUUGAGAUAACAUUUUAAAAUAUCGUAGGUGUAGCUUUCAAUGUUUGUCUAACUCAAAUAAAUGUACCUUUUCAACAAAG